rnacentral:rRNA from 1 species
UACGAAGGGGGCUAGCGUUGCUCGGAAUCACUGGGCGUAAAGGGUGCGUAGGCGGGUCUUUAAGUCAGGGGUGAAAUCCUGGAGCUCAACUCCAGAACUGCCUUUGAUACUGGCGAGCUUGAGUCCGGGAGAGGUGAGUGGAACUGCGAGUGUAGAGGUGAAAAUUCGUAGAUAUUCGCAAGAACACCAGUGGCGAAGGCGGCUCACUGGCCCGGUACUGACGCUGAGGUGGCGAAAGCGUGGGGAGCAACAG